GAUGAACGCUAGCUACAGGCUUAACACAUGCAAGUCGAGGGGAAACGAUAGAGAAAGCUUGCUUUUUCUAGGCGUCGACCGGCGCACGGGUGAGUAACGCGUAUCCAACCUGCCCACCACUUGGGGAUAACCUUGCGAAAGUAAGACUAAUACCCAAUGAUAUCACAAGAAGACAUCUGAAUGAGAUUAAAGAUUUAUCGGUGAUGGAUGGGGAUGCGUCUGAUUAGCUUGUUGGCGGGGUAACGGCCCACCAAGGCGACGAUCAGUAGGGGUUCUGAGAGGAAGGUCCCCCACAUUGGAACUGAGACACGGUCCAAACUCCUACGGGAGGCAGCAGUGAGGAAUAUUGGUCAAUGGGCGAGAGCCUGAACCAGCCAAGCAGCGUGCAGGAUGACGGCCCUAUGGGUUGUAAACUGCUUUUAUAAGGGAAUAAAGUGAGUCUCGUGAGACUUUUUGCAUGUACCUUAUGAAUAAGGACCGGCUAAUUCCGUGCCAGCCGCCGCUGUAA
rnacentral:rRNA from 1 species